AUUUCUUAUUUCAGGGGGUUAUGGAGGCCAUUAGGAUUAGUUGUGCUGGAUAUCCUACAAGAAAGCCAUUCCGUGAAUUUGUAGGUCGUUUUGGCAUCUUGGAUCCUAAUGUCUUUGCUGGGAGCUGUGAUGAAGUAACUGCUUGUAAGCGGCUUCUAGAGAAGGUGGAUCUCAAGGGUUAUCAGGUAAGCACCAGUAGAUCACUUUUUGUUUUUAAUUUUGAUCUAAUUUCGUUCUUAAUUACCUACCCCCAAUUGUAUUUUCCUUAGCAUUGCAGCUUUAGUUUCAUAGGUUCCCGAAUGUUGUAAACUAAUCUUAUUCUACUGCUGAGGUUAGAAGCUACUUGAAAUAGAAAAUCGUUUGAUCUUUUUUGUCUUUUAACCAUUUUCAAUGACAGAUUGGUAAAACCAAAGUUUUUCUCAGAGCUGGCCAAAUGGCAGAAUUGGAUGCUUGUCGAAGUGAGGUCUUAGGAAGAUCAGCAAGUGUCAUACAGAGGAAAGUACGAUCAUAUCUUGCUCAGAAAAGCUUUAUCUUGCUACGGGUUUCUUCUAUUCAAAUUCAAGCCUUUUGUAGAGGACAAGUUGCACGUUAUCAGUAUGAAUACAAGAGAAGGGAGGCCGCUUCUAUCAAAAUCCAGACUCAUUAUCGUAUGUGUCUUUCUAUGAAUGCAUAUCAAAAGUUGCACUCGUCAGCUGUUCUAAUUCAAACAUGUAUACGAGGGAUGGCUGCACGUAGUGACUUUAAGUUCAGGAAACAUUUUAUUUUUUUAUCUUUUUUUUUUAUUUAUUAUUUUUUGUUAUUUAGCUUUUGUUUUUUUUUAAUCUUUUUUUUUAUUUAUUAUUUAGUUCGUCAUAAAGAAUUUAAAAAUUAAAUAUCUAUGUAUUCCUUUUCCUAUUAUAAUUUGGACAUUCUUAUUCUAAUUUAUAUCAGAGCUAACUGAGAAUAAUAAUAUAUGUCAUCAACACAUAACCUAUUUAUAUCUCAUCUCUUCUCUCGCUUUUUUCAUUCCAAUAUAUAUAACAGAAUCAU